CAGUCGCCGCGGGAAUACGGAGGGUGCAAGCGUUAUCCGGAUUUAUUGGGUUUAAAGGGUCCGUAGGCGGAUCUGUAAGUCAGUGGUGAAAUCUCACAGCUUAACUGUGAAACUGCCAUUGAUACUGCAGGUCUUGAGUAAAUUUGAAGUGGCUGGAAUAAGUAGUGUAGCGGUGAAAUGCAUAGAUAUUACUUAGAACACCAAUUGCGAAGGCAGGUCACUAAGAUUUAACUGACGCUGAUGGACGAAAGCGUGGGGAGCGAAUAGGAUUAGAUACCCGCGUAGUCCCUGUCUCUUAUAC
rnacentral:rRNA from 1 species